rnacentral:rRNA from 1 species
GGAAUAUAGUUUGAUAGGAUUAAAUUAUUUAAAUUUUAAAAUUUUAUUUUUUAUGUUUUAAAAGAAAAAUCUUUAUUUUUUUUAUUAUUUUUAAAGAAAAAAUAUUUUUAAUUAUAGAGAAUUAGUAUUGUGAAAGAAAUUUUAUUUUUAAUUAAAAGAAGAAUUAUUUUUUUGUACCUUGUGUAUCAGGGCUUAUUAAAAAUUAAAUUUUAAAUAGGUUUUUCUCGAAUUAAUAAGAGUUAUAGGUUUAUAUUUUUUAAUGUUGAAAAAUUAUUAAAAAUAAAUUUAUAGAGAUGAAACGUCAUUCGUUUAUUAAUAUAUCUAGUUUUUUAAGAAAUAAAUUUAAUUUAUGUUUUAAUAAAUAAUUAUUUUUUUUUUUAAUGAUUAUUUUUAAGAUUAAGUAGUUUGUGGGAUGAGCUAUAAACUAAAAUUGGUAAAAUUAUUUUUAAUAAUUUUAUAUUUAUAAGUAGGAUUAGAAGUUUUUAUUGUAGUGUUUAAUAACUAAUUUAUUGUUUAAUUUUAUUUUAAUAUGUUUAAUUUACUUUUUUUAUUAAAUUUAUAUUUUUAAUUGUAUUAAAUAUUUAAUAAUGAUAAAAUUAGUAGAGAAUAAAAGAAUUUAUAAAAUAAAUAUUUUAAUUUAUAGAUAAUAUUAAGGAAUUCGGCAAAUUUAUUAGUUUUUCACCUGUUUACUAAAAACAUGUCUUUCAAGAAUUAAUAAUUGAAAGUCGGGCCUGCCCAGUGAGUUUAUUAAAUGGCCGCGGUAUUUUGACCGUGCUAAGGUAGCAUAAUCAUUAGUUUCUUAAUUAGAAGCUGGAAUGAAAGGUUUGAUGAAAAAACUUCUGUCUCAGUUUUAAAAUUUUGAAUUUUAUUUUUAAGUAAAAAAGCUUAAAUUUAUGUAAAAGACGAGAAGACCCUAUAGAGUUUUAUAUUUUUAUUUUAGUAAUUUAGAUUAAGAAUUGUCUUUUUUUAUUUUAAAAAUAUUUGGUUGGGGUGAUUAAAAAAUUAAAUAAACUUUUUUUUUAAUUAAAUACUGAUAUGUAAAUAUUAUGAUCCUAAAAAUUGUUUAGAUUAUAAGAAAAAAUUACCUUAGGGAUAACAGCGUUAUUUUUUUUAAGAGUUCUAAUCGAAAAAAAAGUUUGCGACCUCGAUGUUGGAUUAAAAUUUACUUUUGGUGUAGUAGCUAAAUAGGCUAGGUCUGUUCGACCUUUAAAAUUUUACAUGAUCUGAGUUUAAACCGGCGUGAGCCAGGUUGGUUUCUAUCUUUAUAUAAAUAAAAUGUUUUAGUACGAAAGGACCAAAUAUUUCUUUUUGAGAAAGAAUUUUACUGAAUUAAAUUAAUUUAAAAUUAAAUUUUUAAAGAUAAUAAAAU